rnacentral:rRNA from 1 species
UACGUAGGUGGCAAGCGUUAUCCGGAAUUAUUGGGCGUAAAGCGCGCGCAGGUGGUUUCUUAAGUCUGAUGUGAAAGCCCACGGCUCAACCGUGGAGGGUCAUUGGAAACUGGGGGACUUGAGUGCAGAAGAGGAAAGUGGAAUUCCAAGUGUAGCGGUGAAAUGCGUAGAGAUUUGGAGGAACACCAGUGGCGAAGGCGACUUUCUGGUCUGUAACUGACGCUGAGGCGCGAAAGCGUGGGGAGCAAACAGG